UGAGUGACAGGUGGUGCUGUCACAGGUGGCUAGCUAACUGCUAGCUGUCUGGUAGGCGUCACCUCAGCUAAUUUGAGUCCCUGUUGGAGUCACUGAACCUGACCUCUUGGCCGUGUUUGUGGUGUUGAUGCCUUUUGGAGAAUUUUCUGUGCAAAUAUUGAACAAAUAAUAUGGCUUGCUGUGCAGUAGAUUGUACUAACACACUGUCCCAGAAGUCCGUGCUCCAGUUUUUUUUGUUUGCUCUAGGUGAUCCAGACAGGCUUGACCAGUGGAUGAUCAACAUGAGAAGACAGAACUGGACUCCAGGGGAAAGACAUGCAAGAAGGACACCACUGUGCCUACUAUUUUCUCUUUCUCCGAGGGCAAAGAAGAACAGCCAGAACAACAUCAUUUGUUUCACAAGAUAUUAAGAUUUUGCCAAAUUAUAACACUGGGUUCUUAUCCAUAGGUUCUAUCAUGAUAAUUACUAGUACAACAGUUACACAUCUUUUCAUGUAUUUAAAGUGUACUUAAGUCAUACAAAACAACUUUUAAAUUUGUAACCUUUAAUAUGAAUGUUUUCAUGAAUGCAAUAUUUAACUUUACAUUGUUAAA